rnacentral:lncRNA from 1 species
AGAUUUGCCCAAUGUUGAAGCUCGUCAGAAGAUUAUCCAUCAGAGAAGUCCGAUUUCAUGAGAAAUCUGACGGAGGGUCGAUCGGUGGUGGACCUCGGUUGGCGUUGGGGAGGUUCGGCAGACACCGGAGGUGAUUGGCCGUUGUAGAAAUUCAGCUACUGGAGUCCGUCCGUUGUAGAAGUUCAUCCGAUAUCCAUCCGUUGUGGAAGUUCAGACGAAGUCUGGUUCUUGUAGAAGGCUGAAAGAAGACCGCUUAUUGUAGAAACUCGGUCGAAGAUCGAUUGUCAUGGGAGCUCGGAGUAGCGAUCUGGCCAGUGGGUCCUGUCCUGUUGUAGAAGCUCGU